rnacentral:rRNA from 1 species
AGCAGCCGCGGUAAUUCCAGCUCCAAUAGCGUAUAUUAAAGUUGUUGCAGUUAAAAAGCUCGUAGUUGGAUUUCUGGCUGGAGCGACCGGUCCGCCUCGCAAGGGGUGUGCACUAUGGUUGUCUCCGGCCAUCCUUGGGGAGAACGGCGCUGGCAUUCAGUUGUCGGCGUCGGGAACCCCAUCGUUUACUGUGAAAAAAUUAGAGUGUUUAAAGCAGGCUUACGCCUUUGAAUACAUUAGCAUGGAAUAAUAAGAUAGGACCUUGGUGGUCUAUUUUGUUGGUUUGCACACCAAGGUAAUGAUUAAUAGGGAUAGUUGGGGGUAUUCAUAUUUAAUUGUCAGAGGUGAAAUUCUUGGAUUUCUGAAAGAUGAACUACUGCGAAAGCAUUUACCAAGGAUGUUUUCAUUAAUCAAGAACGAAAGUUAGGGGAUCGAAGACGAUCAGAUACCGUCGUAGUCUUAACCAUAAACUAUGCCGACUAGGGAUCGGAUGAUGUUAAUUUUAUAAUGACUCA